GGCAGCUUUUUCCAGAGAAGCAUCUCUGCAGGAAAGUCAAGACAGACAAGCACAGAGCUUAAUUUUAACAGAGAGCAAUAAACCCUGGUGUGGGGUCAAUGCAAGAAGAGGAGAGGAAGUGGAAACAAGGAUUUUGACAACAGAGACAUUUUAACAAGAAAGUAAAAUUAGAAGAUAAUGGGAUGGUUUCUCAUGAGUGGCAGAAGAAUGUCCCAGAGCAGGAGAGAGAAAACAGAGUCCAGUGCUGUAGCAGUUCUUCUCACUGUGGCUGUAAUAAAACACUGUGACCAAAAGCAAACUGGAGAUGAAAGGGUUGAACUGGCUUACAGCUUACUAGUCCAUCAUGAAGGGAAGUCAGGGUAGGUUCUCAGGGCAGGAACCUGGAGGCAGGAACUGAAGUAGAGAGCCUGGAGGAACACUGCUUCCUGUCUUGCUGUAGGUUGUUCUGUUACUUUUCUUAUAUAGCUCGGGCUCAUCUGCCUGGGCAUGGCACCACCUACAGUCACCUAGGCCUCACCCAUCAAUCAUUCAUCAAGAAAAUGCUCUAUAGAAGCAAACAACGUAGGCCAGUCUGAUAGAGCCAGUUCAAUUGAGAUUCCCUAAGCUUUAUGUCAAGUUGAGAGAAUGUAGUGUAGAAUUGAGAUGUCUCAGGAAAGAAAUAUGCUGUUGUGGCUGCAGAUGAGGAUGAGUUGGUGCAUAGUACUGCUUGAUGACCAAAGCUGAUGUGAGAGUGAGAGAAGCAAAGGAAUGUGGGGGAAGGCAAGGAGAGGAGCAAUGGUUGUCUCAGAAUAAGAGAAAGCAACUGUCUUUGGAAGUGCCCAUUUGAAAUUUGUGAUCACAGAUUGAAUGUGGUUGGCCAGCACGAUGGGCAGUUGUCUUCAGUGGUGUCAGGCAUUGGGAACUGACUUUGGAGUAAUCCAGACUUGAACAUAAUGACAAGAAGGAAUUUUGCAGUCCAAUAAGGGAGGCCUAAAGGAGUUGUGGGAGUGAUCAGAAGAGUGAAGUUUAGGAGCUAAGCUAGUUCCAGAGUAACGAGAUGGUCGAAGAGCGAGAUCUGAUGCAUGGUUAGAGAGACUGUUCUGAAUGGGUGCUUAAAAAUGGAGCAAUUGUUAGUGUAAAAGUCCAGUUUAUGCCCUAGACAUAAGUUCAUGCUUUUUAAGUAAGGGUCAUUUUGCAUUCUAACAAUCAUUUGGUUCUGUCUGUAGGCAUUUUAGAUUGGUAUGCUGACAGUGACUACUACUAGCUUCUAGUGGGUAAGGGCUAGGAACAGUGAGUACUAAAUAUCUUACUAUGUGUAGUAUCCUUCACAACAAAGAAUUAUCUAAUCCCAGGAGUCAAUCGCUUCCGUUUGGAACCCUUCUCCCUGUCAGGAGUAGCUAAAAUGAGGAGAGAAAGGAGUAGAGGUGAGAUUGGGAGCUGAGAUGUUGAAGCAAGAGAUAGACUUCUGUCAUCACCUUUGAAGUUGUCAAGAAUGAGGACAGGGAGCAUGAGGACAGGAGCAGUGGUGAGCACAAGUGACAAGAAGCUUGUGAAGUUUUCAAGGAGAAGCUAGAGGAAAAUAAAUGAUACAUAACUGCCGGUAGGGGGCAGAUGGUUGUACUGAGAUGCUUAGAUACAAGAGAAAAUAAACCGUUGUGAUUGGUAAAUUUCCAAACCACUGGGAUUUAAAUCAAAGUGCUCAGGUAGGAGCUGGAAAUGUGGCUGAGUCUGAAUAAAAUCCUGGCAUAGAGCCCAUCACCAGCACAGUGGGUAGGGACACUUGAAGCAUUGUAUUUGUACAUAUUUUUCCAGAGGAUUUUAUUUGAUUGAAGAAAAGUAGUGUAUGUGUGUGUGUUUGUGUGUGUGUGUGUGUGUGUGUAUGAGUGUAGUGUCACUCUUGGCUAUAUAGUGAGACCCUAUCUCAAAUUACAUAUAAGAUUGUGUAUGUGGCAUUUGAAACACAUUGCCUACAAUUUUCUGUGGCAUUAAUUGCAUUCAUAAUGCCAUUAAGUAUCAUCACUGUUUCUCAAACAUUUUAGUCAUCGCAAGCAGACACUUGAUAUCUAUUAAAUAAUAAUUCCUCAUUCCCUGGCCUCCUCAGUCCUAGCUAAUUUCUUCUUUAUUUCUAUAAGUUUGCCAUACUUUAUAUAUGGAAUCAUAAAAUGUCUCCUAUUUUUUAAUUGAUUUAUUUCCACUUAGCAUGGUCUAGAAUACACCUACAUUAUAUUAUAGUAUCACUUUCAAUGCUGAGUAAUAUUUCACUGCAUAUUAUAUUAUCACAUUGAAAAUGCAUUCAUCUGUUGAUCGAUAGUAUGGCCGUUUGAAGGAUGGUAAGAUGAAUAUUGAUUUAUAAGCACCUAUCUGUCUCUAUUUUUAAUCUUUUCUUGCAUUAUUACACUUUUUAAAAUCCAGACCAAGCAAAAUGGCACAAGUUAGGAAACAGAAUGUUCACCCUGAAGCAAAAGCUCAACCCACCAAACACCUAUGCAAGAGGACAGGCCUUGCCUGUGCCUGGCACUUUACUGAUUGUCACUCAAAGUGUAUGUGCAUUCCCCUGGUCAUUUUUGUCUUUAUUUUCUUCCUUAAAGCAUACUAGGUCUACAGGUGUUUCCAUGAAAAUCCUGCCAGAAAUAAUCCGAAUCAACCAGUCUCUGGUAAAGAAAUGGAGAGCAGC
rnacentral:lncRNA from 1 species